rnacentral:rRNA from 1 species
AUUGAACGCUGGCGGCAUGCCUUACACAUGCAAGUCGAACGGCAGCGGGCCUUCGGGUGCCGGCGAGUGGCGAACGGGUGAGUAAUGCAUCGGAACGUGCCAUUGAGUGGGGGAUAACGUAGCGAAAGUUGCGCUAAUACCGCAUAUUCUGUGAGCAGGAAAGCAGGGGGACCGCAAGGCCUUGCGCUCUUUGAGCGGCCGAUGUCAGAUUAGCUAGUUGGUGAGGUAAAGGCUUACCAAGGCGACGAUCUGUAGCGGGUCUGAGAGGAUGAUCCGCCACACUGGAACUGAGACACGGUCCAGACUCCUACGGGAGGCAGCAGUGGGGAAUUUUGGACAAUGGGGGCAACCCUGAUCCAGCCAUGCCGCGUGAGUGAAGAAGGCC